ACAGGCGAGGGCAAGCGGAGGGGCGAUUUCAUGAACUCAGCCCUGAUUUCGAGGUCUGCAUCCCGCAGCUCGUCUUCCUCCCGGGGCUUGGGGCGCUGCCAAGGCGGGCCAGGCCAGCGAUGCUGAUGGAUUGGAGCCGCGGCGGGCGAGGCUGGAAGGGAAGCUCUCGCCAACCCUGCCCGGGCGCGGCCUGCGCCCUCCGCGGUGCCAGGAAACAGGGGAUCCAGGCAGACGCUGCUGUUUGCCACCGGCACCCACUGAAGGACGAGGAGGAGGGGAGCCUCACAGAAGCACAAGCAGGACCUUUCACAGCCACCUUCCUGGGCACAGCACCCGACUGCGGAGGCCUGUCCGCGUGGCCGCUGUGGGCCCUCGGAGGUUUGGGUGUUUUCCUGCCUUUCCUGCUCCCAGCCCGGUCCUCAGCGGGGAUACACUGGUCUCUCUUGCAACCUUGGGUAACAUGAGCUUACAGAAUCCUUAUCUAUGUAUUUUUUUUCCCUUUAAUUCCCAUUCAAUUAUACCAAAACUAUUAGUCUUUAAAUUGCAAAACAGAUAAGCAACAAAAAAAAAAAAAAAAAAAAAGGAAAAAAAAAGCAAGCAAGCCCUUUUUCAAAAUGUCCUCUGAUACGAUCUUGAUCAAGUUACUCAAUUAUAAAAUGUGCAUAAAGCUCCGGGCCUCCCAGGACCCUUGUUAAGGCUCCACUGAGACGACAGAUAGACGUGCAAACGCUUAAAAGCGGCUGAAGACGCGUCAACUCUCUUCUCUUCCUCUCUCUGAAUUGAGACAGUCCUAGGAUUUAGAGAAAACCCACAUCAGUGGUGGGCACUGAUGGGCACUGGUGGGCACUCUAUGAGCAUAUGUCCGUAAACUUUAGUUUUCUCGGGGAAAUCAUUCCAAUUAAGCUAAAGAUCAGCCCGCUGCCAGCAGGCCUCCAUGGGGCUUUAUGGGCACGAGAGUUCCCCGCACGAAACACUCGGGGGACACCGCGUGGCGCUAGGGGUGCAGCUGGCCCUAAGCACCGUGAGCGUGAGCCGUGGGGGCCUAUUUCACAGCCUCUUCCCUUAGCAGGAGAAGGGAUGACAUUCUGUGGGCCUCGCCUCCCCGGAGAUUAGAAACCAAGCCCCAGAGGCGGCCGGCAGCUGAGGAAUAGGCUCUUCCCCGCUGAGGAGAGGGAGGCCCAAGGCCCGUGGAAAGCCUCCGUCCUCACGAGGUGGGUCUCCAUCCCGUGUGGGAUGUUCACGGGGCACUUGGCCUAAAGUCCUAUCAAGAGGAGCAAAGCAACACUAUUAGGGGGCAUUUCAGAAGCACGCGGGGUACGCGCUAACUCUCAAGAACCUCAGCCGCAGUCGGCGGGAGGAGGAACCCCACGAAGCCGAAAGCAGUGUUCUGGGCCCGGGAGGCCGCUGUGGUCGAGAGAGCUCAGCCGCCCAGGUCCCCGGAGGCAGACGUGGGAUCAGGGCCUGAACCACGUGCGUCCCCGUUCUGCCGUUGGCUCGCUCGGUGACCUCGGCCCCACGGCCUCCGUCUGCGCGGUGCGGGGGUGAGCAGGUGUUCUCUAGGGGCUCACCCGCCUCUCACAUUUUCAAAACCUAGAUUCUGAAAGGAAAAGGAAGUAGAAACAGGAAGAAGACGCCUAUGAGAAUUCCAAGAGCGAGACCACUCAAAACUGCAAAGCUGGGGACACAUGUAGGACAACGGAGCAGGGCCGGAGACCAUCCUGUGCUCAGCACCUACCCUGCGACACCUGCGGGGGAUCCGGACGCCACCACGAGGGAAAGCCUUCCAAUGACCAACCACAGAACUGCAGACGAGUGACCCCGUUCCCGUCUACGCCGACUUAGAAAGGAAGUUCUCUCCUGGGAAGAGCACAUUGCGUGGUUUGGGGUAUACCAUGGACACUUCUCAUUUUAUGUUCUGUCUUUCCUUUUUGGAGGACGUCGUGGGCCGUGGAAUGUAGCGGAGUUUCCGUGUCUGCAGGGGGCCCACCUCCAGCCCCACCACACAAGGGGUGGCGCGCUCAGGUAUGAAGGCCCUGUGCUCUACGUGCCUCAGCAGGUUGGGUCUCGCGGCAGCAGAGAUGACGUAUUUGUCCUAAUCGAGUGCGUCAACAGCAGAUAAAAUACAUACAAAAACCGUGGUUUCUGGAGAGAAAGACAUGUAUUUUUUCUUUUUUUUUUUUCUUUUUUUUAAAUACAUUUAUUUUUUAUUGGUGUUCAAUUUCUCAACCUAUAGAAGAACACCCAGGGCUCAUGUAGUUUUUUCCACGCUGAACAGCCGCUGGGGUAAUUCGGGAAUACCGAGAGCGAAGAGUCAAUCACCUCGAGAAAAGAUUGGCGCUUCUUAUCGGCUUGACACAAAAUACUGACAAACAUAAAGAUUACGGAAAGUUAUAAUAAUGUCCCACUGGAGAGGAAAUAGUGAACUCGUUCAAAUGUCGUCAGCUCAUUGUCCCUACAUGAGAAAGGGUAUAAUGUCCUGAAACCCUACUGCUCGUACGCGGCACAGACUUAACAGCACUCUUCCAAAAUUUGACAACGGUCCUAAACGUGUAUAUGGAAUGACCAAUAAAAGGCUGUAAGCCUGAAAUAAACUUUCCCAAACUACCAAUAAUAAAAACCACAUUUCUAUUCACCGCCCUGGAGGAAAGACUGAAUCCUCUUUUGCUUCUCUCUCAGGAAAAUAAAGCACAAAAGCACCGUCAUAUAAAAAGGAAUCAAAGUGUAGGCAAGCAGAGAGGGGAGAAAAAAAAAAUACAGAAACUUGACAGGUAGCGAUCUAAGGAAAGCAUUAGGAUGUUUUUCUGAAUUUUGUAAUGUUUGUAUUAUUUAGCAGCCUUUCUUAAAUUCGUGAUUUGUUAUGAUUUUCGUUAUUCUAAGUAAAUGUCGGUUUUAUAUCUAAA